CUCUCUCUCUCCACUUCCCUCCCCCCUUGGUGUUUCUUCCAGAUCAGCCUCCUUUUCAUUCCAACUCUACGUGCCCAGAGCUUCAAAUACAGCCCUCCCAUCACAGUCAGACUCUCACAAAACUUCAAUCAGCUGCUUCUCCUCCUGGAAGAGAACCUGGAUGGCAGAAUGGAAAUCUCAGGAAGGCAGAGAUUCUGUCCACUGUGUUUAUGCCAUGGAACGCAGCCAAACACAUAGAGGAAGCUGGAAGGUGGGAAAGAAGAGGUGUGGAGUCAGCUGCAUCUGGCCUGGAUUCCAGUUCUGCUGUCU
ensembl:lncRNA